GUGUGUGUGUAAUGAGUUUAUAAACUUUAGAGUGGAGAGCUCUGAAAAUGUCUUCUAUUAACCAAAGGGGGCUUUAACAACUUAGAAAUAAAACAAAAAUGAUGAAUUAAAAUUUUGGCCAGAGAGAAGUAUAUCUGAAGGUGAACUGGAUGGUGAUUCUGGAUUAAACAUGAGGAUGAAUAAAGGAAAUAGAUUCCUUUCUCUCUUGCAAGGCAGCCAAGGAAUCAAAGAACUAGAGUAAACCAUCUUGAAACAAUAUAGAAGCAGUUGAGAUUUCAUCUAUUCAUUUGUACAUAAGUUGAUCCAUUCCUUCAAAGAUAUUUUUUGAGCAGCUAAUAGCAUUGGGGAUGCAGUGGUUAUUUGUUAUUGGAUAAGACAGUAUUCAUACCCUCAUGGAACAUUCAGUCUAGUGUGAGAUGAUAGGAGACUGAAGUAAAGCGUUAAAUUCUAGGAUGGAGGACUCUGUGACAAGGAGAGACCAAGGUACUACGGACAGUAUGGUGGUGUGUGUAUAAGGGAUUUCCAAUGAAGGCUUCCUGGAGGAGGUCCCAUAUAAUCACAGGUCUGAAAGAUGAAUCGGGCAUAAUCAGGUGAAAGCAGGCAGAGUAUAAUGAGAGCUCAAAGUCCAAGGAACAGCUUAUAUAAAAGCACAGAAGUCAAAGCAUAAUAAGAGGCCAGUAGAACAUACAGUCAUUUAGUUCUGGGUACAGUGCUAGGUUUAGGUUCUUAAGACAAAUAAGACAUGACUCCUGUUUCUUUGUAAAACUAUAUUUGUAUGUAUAUGCACACAUGCAUACAAACAGCAGCAGUUAUUCUAAAAUCAUGAGUGUUCAUUUUCAAAUAUUUGGCACUCGGCUUUCUAGGAUCAGGAGUAAAAUUCCUGGUUCACUUGUGCUUGGAAGGGGCCAUAUGAUUAUUUCGUGCCAGUGAGUUGUGAAUGGAGGGCAUGUGCGUCACUUCUGGUUCAAAGUAUUUACUUGCCAGGGCCUUCUUUCCUUCAGCCAUGGCAACUCAGCCGUGUUCCAUAUAGUGCCUGUCGAUCAUCCUGGGGCUCAGACGGAGGUCAGUAUAGAACAGAGCCCCCAACGGGCAUAUUAAUGACAUUUAGUACAAGUGAGAGAUACUUUUUUCAUUUUAAGGUAAUUUUUUGGUCUUCACAGAGAUGCAGGGUAUUUGUUAUAGCAGCAUAACCUAGCCCACUGUGAUAUCUACAAAAUAAGAAGCAGCAUUUUCAAUUAAAUUGAAUUAGUAAUCAUUUAAAAUUUCCUCAGUCUGUGUUAAAUGUUAUGGAUAUAAGGGCUAUAAAGACAGGUGCUCUUCCUGCCAAGUAUGGCAUUGGGGAGAGAGACUCAUGAUCCAGUCAGUUGGUUGCUAUGAGGUCAGUGAAAGGGAGAAACACAGGUCUCUGGGAGCAUAUACAGGGACAUGGACUUCAGCCCAGAGGGGUAUAGAAAGUAAAAGAGGCCAAAACUGAUUCUGGAAAGAUGCCUAGGAGAGAGCCAGGUUGAAAAGAUGGGAAAGGAUAUUCCAGGCAAUGAAAAGAACAGGAGGAACUAUACAGGGAGAUUAAGCCCUGACUUAAUCAGGCAGCAGGCAUUUUCCUUGUGAGGACCAGGAAGUCUAGCGUUUUCUAAGCCAAGAAAUUUUAGAGCACAGAGCACAAAGUACAAAUUUUAGAGUCCUCUGUAGCUAUAGAUGGCAUGUUUGUGUCCCUGCCAAAUGCAUAUGUUGAAACCUAAUCCACAAUAUGAUGGUUUCUGGAGCUGGAGGUAGAGCCCUCAUGAGUGGGGAUAGUGCCUUUGUUAGAGGGACCCCAGAGAGAUCCCUCACCCCUUCUACCAUGUGAGGUUAUGGUGAGAAGGUGGCUAACUAUGAGCCAGGAAGUAGAUGCUCACCAGACACCAAAUCUGCCGGCCCCUUGAUCUUGGACUUCCCAGCGUCUAGAACUGUGAGAAAUAAAUUUCUGUUGUUUCUAACUCACCCAGUCUAUGGAAUUCUGUUAUAGCAGCCUGAAUGGACUACGAUAACUGCCCUGGUGGAUUUCCUGUAAGAACCAAAUCAGGGCUCAAACAAACAAGCAAACAAACCAAAAAGGAUAGAAAUACAACAGAAACAACCAGUGACUGACCAAGCAUAGCUGGCAGAAGGAACAAUCUAUUGUUUCUUGGGAAUCCUGCCUGGUGAGGGCCAAGUGGAACUACAAGGUUCUGUAUGAACUUCACAUUCAGACCUUAAACAUCUAAAGGUCUCUUGUAGUCUCUGGAAAGGAAGCAAGGGACAGUGCCACACCCACAUGACAUCACCGUGCUCACUUCUAAAGAACAGAAACCUCUUAAAGCUAAGGUGUGUGGCUGGGUGUGCUUCCAGUGCUUCUUUAACAAGAAGAGAAACCUGAUAGAACAAGAGUUUCAACUUAGUACAUGGCUGCUCCAGUUAGAGGGUCUGUUUGUGGUUAUUUGAGUGUGGGGCAGAGUGUGUAUUUAGAACUCGUCCCAGUUUUCUUGAAACCUGCUUUUCUUCACCUCAUUACCAACUGGUAGCCAUGCAUCCAAAUGCUAAUUUUUCUUAAUUAAAUAUAUGACAGUUUUAAAAAAUUACUUCUCUUUCCAUUCUAAUUAGAUGUUAGUGAUUCUGCUCUCUCCACUAAUUACUGCAUGUCUUCCUUCUGAAGACUAUAUAUAUGUAUAUACUAUAUAUAUGUAUAUACAUAUAUGUAUAUAUAUAAGUAUAUAUAAAACCAUAUACGUAUUUAUAUGCACACAUUCAUAUAUGUGUGAACAUAUGUAUGUGAAUAUAUAUGUAUACACACAGAUAUAAAAUUGAAAUUUUAAUAACCUUCCUCUUGGGAGAAUGCAUCAUUGAUAAAAAUAUCCCUGCCUUGGGUUGGUAGUUUUCUGGGAUUUCAAUUUCAAUAGCUUCUUCCGUAUUAGGCUGCUUUCAUCUCAGAGGAAAUAAUCAUAUCUAGGUUUGGCUCUGUUCAAUGGGGCAUGACUACACCAGAAUGGGUUUCUUCCUGAACAGAAAAAGAAAAUCGGAAAAAAAAUAAUAAAAGCCCAGCACACCAAACUCCAAAUUAUCUAAAUCCAUUUUCAAUGAAGAGCUUGGUGGCUUGGUAAGGAUGAUGACUUUUGAAGGAAAAAAAUCCAUUGCAAAAUCCCAUUUCCCAUGCUGUAGGGUUAGGAGAAUAAGUUGCACCCAGGGAGGAGGGGGCAUGCUCCUUUUGACAUGUAAUAAAGCAGGUGGCCUCAUUUGAAUUUUCCCAUUAGGUCUCCUGGAGUGAUCUCAGAAAUACGUUGGCCUUGCAAACUGUAACUCAGCCUUGGCUCCCUGACUCCAGGAGAGCCAAACAGCAGAAUUAGAGUUUUUCAGACAGCAGAAUUAGAGUCUGAAUUACUUGAAAUGUCCAGCAGGAAGUUAUUUGUUAUCGUGUUGGGUUUCCUAUUUGCCACAGAAUAUUAAAUAGGUUUCUUAUUUUCCACAGAAUAUUAAUAAUUGGGCUUGAAAGUGGGCAAAUGCCUUCUCUGCCAACCAGCCUUUUUCUUUUUGCCUCUCAUCCUGUUUUCCCACCACAAGGAUCAAUGGAGAUGUUUCCAUCCCUCAUCAAGAUGGGGGCUAUCUAGAUGGAGCAUCUGAUACUGACAGGCUCACGGUUAAAGUCAGAGAUAAUUAGCCCAAAUAUAGGCAUUCCCAGCAGAGGUGUGAUGAAUAAGUGCCAAUGCAGGAGACACGGUCCGAUCCCUGGUCUGGGAAGAUCCCACAUGCCACGGAGCAACUAAUCCCACGCGCCACAACUACUGAGCCUGCGCUCUAGAGCCUGUGUGCCACAGCUACUGAAGCCCGCGCGCCUAGAGCCCGUGCUCUGCAACAGGAGAAGCCACCACAAUGAGGAGCCCGCACACCAACAAAGAGUAGCCCCUGCUCGCUGCAACAAAGACCCAAUGCAGCCAUUAAAAAAAGGAAGAAAAAAUCAGUUUCAUUCCUUUGUUCAUUCAGCAGAUGAAUAUUGAAGGAACCUAAAUGGUACAAGCAACAUGGCCCCUGUCCUCAUGUGGUACACAAUCAGAAGAGACAUUGGAGAAAGAAUUAGCAAAACAUUAAUUAAUUGAAACUUUGAAAAGUGUUAUGAAAGAGAAGUAUAAGAAGCAAUGAGAAAACAUAUCAGAGGGACUCAAAAAUAUAGUUGUCCCACACAGGCUAAUAAUUUGGUAUGCUUUCAAACAGAUUUAAAAAAAAAACUUGUUCAUCUUUUAUUUAUCGGAGGCAGGAAGAAACUGAUUUGAAAAAAAAAUCACUUCAUUUUACUAAAGAAACAGAAAACAAGAUCUUUUCAGGAUAUGUAUGAGAGAGAAUAUACACUGAUGCGGCAGACAGGCAUGGAUUUAUGAAUGUGCUUUGUGGGGCGAUCGCAGAGCUGUCACUAGCAGCCUAUGCAGAGUGACAAAUCCACUGGGUCAGAGGAGUACAGGCCUUCUAGCUACCUGUCUUCCAUCUUUGUUGAGGCUGGUGACCCAGUCCUAACAUCUAGGUUCUGGGUUCUUACUAUGCUGUAGCUGGGAGGGUUAUAGAAUGCUUCCAAGCAUCUUGCACAACCUAAUGGCUUUUCCCUUUAGUUCUUGCUACAUCCAUUGGGCCCCAGUAUGACAUUGCUAGGGACUUCUAGCAACUCUCUUACUAUAACUGGGUUAGAUAUUUUGGGGGUGGCUGGAGAUCAUCCUAAUUAGUGGGGGUAGGAAAAAAGAGGCAAUAAUUAAAGAACUGCAUUCUGUUACUGGCAGUGCCAGCCCAUCCAGAACCCAUGGGCCAAUGAAGAGUUAUAACUCAACUAACCAGCUGAUGUAAUGGGCAUUUGUGGAAGAGUCUCGGGGAGCCUGAGCUUAUGCAAGGUCUAAACACUUCUUUCUUUUGCUGUGGUCACCCAUGUUCUCCCAACAGCACCAUCAUUCUGUGCCCUUUAUGUCUUCUAAUGCCCCAACGCGGCCUGAGCCUUUAUCCAGACAGCCCGAGGCUCCAGCAGCAAGCUCACUACAAGGAUGCAUACGGCUGAGGGCCACAGGGUGCAGGUGGCUGUGGUACUCAUAUGUGGGUGCAUUCCUCAGUGCUGCAUGCUAUUUUUAUUCUUUGAAUCAUAUUUCAUGCGUAUGACCUACUUACUCACCUGAUCAGGGAGAUCCUUAUAGGUAGAGUCAGUGUUUCAUUCACGUGUCCCGUGACCCGUAGUAAGUGUCCAAUUAACGGUUGAAGAAUAAAUAAAGAGAACUUCCUCUGGCUGGCUCUUGCUGGGCUCCACCAGACACUGGAAGCUGGUGGGAAGUCUGUGUAUCCAAAAAUAAAACUGAUAGCAGUAGAACCUGUAAUUUGGCUUGCCUGGGAGAGGUGGGUGGUAAAAACAGAGGGCAUAGCCAUGGAACCCAUGGCCUGAAUGUAGCCAGACUUCCAAGAAACUUAUUUUAAAUUAAUUAAAACUGUAUACCAAAAUAGCUCCACCCAUUAAUUGACUUCCACUGACUGAAGCAGAAUUGAUAUUUGUGCAUGUUUCUGUCAAAAUGUUUUCUGUAUUUCCGUAGUUCUUAUUCUUACUUAAGUUUUCUUUCGUAAUUUCCCAAGACAGAAAUCAUCUUGUGAAACAUGUUAAAGGAUCCAACAUAUAGAUAUUAAAAUAAAUAAUUUGCUCUCAUUUCACCCCGUGGAUUAUUGGGAUUCCAGAUCUCAGCUGACUGCCGAUAACAUACAUCUGUUAAAAAAAUACGCAUCACAGGUGGGCUCAGCCCAGCAAGAAAUAUUUGCUUCAGUUUAUACUCAAGGACACAUAUUACAAAGAAUAUUUGGGUGGACUGGACUGGCAGUGGAGCCAACAUCACGUGCUUGCACUGCGUGCCCUGGGAUUACAUCAGAGACAUCAUCCAUGCCUGUGCUUCCCGGCACACCUCCCCACGCCUUCAAAUGAGGCCUCCCUCCGUCUGUCACAAAGACCAAGAAAAGGUUCCGGUCCCUUGAGGUUGGAGAAGAAAGCAACUGUGAAGAAACAAGCUAUUAAUAUUAAUGUUCCAGGAAAAGGAGAAGAGAGAAAGGACGUGGGGUGCCCAGAAAGAAUGACUCCAUAUGGCUUUGAUGUGUUCCUUUCCACAGGACGGGAGCAGCACGGAGAAUACAGAAUAACGAGGAGGAGGGAAAGGAGGAGGUGGAGGUGGCCUGGCAGCAUCUGAGAAAUUAUGUGAGCUGUGGGGAGUAGGUUCUGUCUAGACAAAAAGUCAGCCAGCCACGCUGCCAUCUGCAGCCGUCAGAGAACAAGCCAGCAAGGGAAGGGGGAGCCCGCAGGUGCCCUGUUUAUUCCAAUUAGUGGGUGUGUAGGAUAUUUUCUCUAAAGGACUGUUGUUGUGCUAAACCUGGGGGAGCACCUGCUAUUAUUGAGACCCUUCCCAAAGAUCUCCUUUUUUGUGGACCUCUUCAGGCACAGUUUAUUAUUAUUAUUUUUGCCUCUCCAUUGAAGUCCUAUUGUACCCCUUAAUUUCUCACGUGGAUAUAUUGUCUGAUUCUUAAGAGCUCAGUCGGCAGUUUGACCUCAAUUUAGAUCCUGCCUGUAUCUCUCUCUGGCCUUGCCAUGGUGGGCAAAUUACUCCACCUCUGAGAGCCUCUGUUUUCUCUUCUAUAAGAAAUGUAAGUAAUAGUGAGGAGGUAGUUUGUGUACAGGCUCUAACAACAGUUGCCGGUCUUAUGACUGCUAGAGCCUGUUCUCUCUCUCUCUCUCUUUUUUUUAAGAUUCUUUUGAUGUGAACCAUUUUCGAAGUCUUUAUUGAAUUUGUUACAAUAUUUUUUCUGUUGUAUGUUUCGGUUUUUUGGCCAUGAGGCACGAGGCAUGUGGGAUAUUAGCUCCCUGACCAGGGAUCGAACCCGUACCCCGCGGGCAUUGGAAGUCAGAGUCUUAACCACUGGACUGCCAGGGUCAUCCCACCUGUUCUUUCUCUUCCUCAAAACAGAGACAGCAGAGGGCAAGGUGGUGAAGGAGUGACAGCAAAUGGAAACAUCUUGGGAUAGUCCAUUACUAGCAGCACAGAUAUUUCACACUCUGUUGAAGGAAACAAGCUUCCUUGGAAUACUUGAGGUAAAGCCUCUAUAUGUUGAGUGAACUUUGAUGCUUUUGCACAAGUAGAAACUGAGACUCUACUCCCCACAAGUAAUAACGAUCUCGACACAUGAAGAAAUAUUUCAGGCUGAAUCACCUGGGAGGUGUGACAUUAAAUUAAAGGAAUUUAAAAAUUGAUAAUUAUGUGACAUAUUAGAGGUGUUAGCUAAUAUGAUUACUGUGAUAAUUGUAUUGCAAAAUGUAAAUGUAUCAAAUCAACAUGUUGUAUAUUUUAAACUUACGCAAUGUAUGUCAAUUAUAUCUCAAUUUGAAAAAUAACUUAGAAAAGGCAAAAAGAAGAGGAAUUAGAUGAGAGCUCAGACUAUGGCUAACUAUUUUCAUUUUCUUCGUGAUGACGAAUGGUGAGUGAGUAGCAGAAACCCACCAAAUAAUAUCUGUAGUAUGUUGUACAAUAUAAAAUUUUAGUCAGUUCAGUAAACCCUGUCUAUUUGCCAUACUAUACAGUGGCAUUAGUCUUGUUCAGUUAUUUCUUUUGAUCAUCUUUGUAGAGUCUCACAUUAAAGAACCCUUUAGGUAUUAAAUUAAACCUGGAUGGACCCUACCUGAAUAUUGUUGACAACAUUCUGUUGCUCAGAGAAAGGAAAAUCUUAUUAGGCAAAUCCGCUUAAGAAUGCUGCAUUAGAGAAAAUACAUCCUUAAGCAAUCUUGGAAUGGGGAGAAAGUCCUCCUAAACAAGUCAUAAAACCUAAAAGGUCUAAGAGAAAAGACUGACAGAUUUAGCUACAUAAAAAUAUAACAUUUCGGCCCAGGAGAAGAAGCAUAAAGAAUGAUACGUGGGGGCUUCCCUUGUGGCGCAGUGGUUAAGAAUCACCUGCCAAAGCAGGGGACACAGGUUUGAACCCUGGUCCGGGAAGAUCCCACAUGCCGUGAGCAACUAAGCCUCUGCACCAUAACUACUGAGCCUGUGCUCUAGAGCCCACGAGCCACAACUACUGAGACCACGUGCCCCAACUACUGAAGCCUGCGUGCCUAGAGCCUGUGCACCGCAAUGAAGAGUAGCCCCUGCUCGCUGCAACUAGAGAAAGCCUGCACGCAGCAACAAAGACCCAACACAGCCAAAAAUAAAUAAAUAAAUAAAAUAAAUUUAUUUAAAAAAAAAAGAAUGACACAUAAGAACUUAUUUCCUCAAUAGAUAAAGAGCUAUUACAAAUCAGUAAGAGACCAUUUGGCCAAAAGAAGCAUGAAUAGGCAAAAACAUGAAUAGGCUGAUUGCUCCUAAGUAGGUCUUUCUUGUAUUAAGUCACAGAGUCUCUGUACACUCUAGAACGACACAUGGAGUGUGCAGUGGGAAGACAGAGAUAUGUCAGGCUUAUAUAGGAGGAAUAAGAGUGGAAAAGUAUGGUAAGGCUUUAUGUUUGUGUGGGUAGGAUGUGGAGAGCAAAGGGAAGAGAGAGAGAGAGAGAGAGAGAGAGACAGAAGUAGAAAUGUAUAAGGCAUGACUUGGGGACCAGAAAGAUUGGAAUGGAAUGUUUUUUAAGAGAAACAUUAGAGGGCAUGGCAGGACAUAUAGAUUGGGGACUUAACUGGAAGUCUUUGAUGCCAGCCUAGGCAUUUAGAAUUGAUCUCCUAGGUAGUGGAGAAGAGCCAUUGAAGGUUUUUUUUUUUUUUUUUUUUUUUUUUGCGGUACGCGGGCCUCUCACUGCUGCGGCCUCUCCCGCCACGGAGCACAGGCUCCGGACGUGCAGGCUCAGCAACCAUGGCUCACGGGCCCAGCUGCUCCGCGGCAUGUGGGAUCCUCCCAGACCGGGGCACAAACCCGCAUCCCCUGCAUCGGCAGGCGGACUCCCAACCACUGGGCCACCAGGGAAGCCCCCAUUGAAGGUUCUUAAACAGGGCUGAGACAGGUCUCAAGCAUAGGAGGUAAAACUGAAUUAGCAAAUUAGUUAGGCAAAAGGAUAGUUAUUAUCUACAACUAAAUCAUUGUUAUGUUCAACUCAAGAACAAUCCCCUGGCACAGAGCCUUGUGUUCUCAACAUAUGUCUGCUGAAUUUUUAUUAUUUUGAAUAUAAAAUUACUGUAGCCUAGAUGUUAUUUGGCCUCCCCAGGUUUUUCAUAUAAAAUGAUGUGACAUUUUAAAUCUGAAGUAAGUGACUAAAUCUUUCUCUUGCUCAAACCCAGUCCAAGGGGUGAGAUGAGGUUAGACAUUAUGGCAGCCCUCCAUCCUCCUUGCUCCUCCUGCCCUCAGAUGGGCAGCCAGAUCCUGGGUUAAGCACCACUUUUGAUUCCUCUGGUUCUUUCUCUGAUACUACCUAUCAUCAUAUGCCACCCCUCCAGGCUUUCCAGAGUUCUACAGCAAGUAUGGUGCAAGGCUGUGAUGUAGAAUGAAUGAAACAGGACAAAAUGCCAUGAAGUCAGUAUCCUGCAGUUGCACCACUUAAAACAGGUGUCUGCCUUUAGAAAAUAUAUCCACAAAGUCCCCUCUACUGUGGGCACAGGCUUGUCAUAGGAACUGAUGGGUAAGAGAAAAGGAUGGUUGAAAUACAACCCAGUCUAUUCACCUCAAAUCAUCGACAUUUUAUUCAUGAUGUCCUAAUUAACUCUGGAUGCUUUUUUUGUCCUUUAUCCUUUUUUAUAUCAAAAAAGUGAACUGUGUUGGUUGCCCCAUGUCAUUUGUAGAGAACUGUGGAAGCUAAUUAAAAACAAAACCAAAAGCCACAGAUGUAAUUAUUACAUAAUGAGGUAAGAAUAACAUUAUCUGAUGCUAUUACAUAUACCAAGAGUGAAUUUUAAUUAGAACCCCAGGUGGUUACUGAGAAAUGAGGUAUAAAGAAAUUUUACCAUGACUGCCUAUUUGCAAAAUAAUUAUGCAUCACAAUUAUUGCUUGGGUAUAAACCAGAUUCUUUGGGAAUACUUCUUAAAAGGAAGACUAUUCUUUGGUCUUGGCCUGUGAAAAACAAAUAAAUAAACACACAUGCCUUAUCAAGACCAGUUUCCUCAAUCUGAUACUGCAGGCAUGUAAGAUUUAGGACCAUCUGAAACAUGUAAUCAUCUAGUAUCAAAGAUUAGAUUCAUUCUUUCUCGUUUCUAUAAAGUAUAAAUAUGAGAUGUAUCUGUAAUGGCAAUGAAAUAAAUAUUUUAAAGCAUCUA